UAAAAUUGUAGGUUGUAAUCACU
rnacentral:miRNA from 1 species